UGAUUGGAGUCCUUCAGCUAUUCGAUCAGCCAUGAUGACCACUGCCAACCAUUUGGAUAACACUAAAAACCCCAUCAAAACCGAGGAUAAUAACAGCGAUACUACAUCAUUAGCUAUGGGAGCCGGACUUGUUGAUCCAAACCGUGCAGUUGAUCCAGGCCUGAUAUAUGAUGCCACUCCACAAGACUAUGUGAACCUUCUCUGCUCCAUGAAUUUUACAUCAGAUCAAUUCAAAACAAUUGCUAGAUCAUCAGCUAAACACAACUGUUCAAAUCCAUCUGAUGAUAUCAAUUACCCAUCAUUUAUUGCUCUCUAUGUCCCAAAUGGGGACUACGCUUGGUUGGAGCAGAAAUUCAAGAGGACAGU
rnacentral:misc_RNA from 1 species